UCUAGGGCUAAUUAAAGGACAAUGACUAUCUCAUUUUCGAGAUUCAUGGUCAACACAAAAUUUUGUUACUUAAGCUUUAAGUAAUUUCUUACUUAACCCAGUCAGAAGAGCAAAUUUGACAAAUGCAUCAAAACUAUAUUGCUGAUUCAAAUUGAAACAAAAACCACAUAUUUACUCCUUGUGUAUUAAACUGGAUUCUCAGGGAUAUUUGCAUAGGCCCCCUAUUUUUGAACUCUCAGAUUCGCUUUUGCUGUGUCAUGGAGGUUCUCAAGAACCUUGUCCUGCUGUUACCGUGUCACAGAGGACACAAGGCACAGCGAGGCUUACGUUCUCAUCGCUCCUCAUACGGAAAACUGCUGAAGUAACAACAUUGCUUAAGAAAUUAAGACCAAGUGUAAGGCAAAGCCAGAGGGCAUUUAAGUAGAUAAAAUUCCUGGAAGUCAUCAGUAGGACCUAUCUUUCUGAUUGGGAAUGCCUUAAGCAUGACAUCCUCUUUGCUGCCUUCAAGUAAGGGAAGAAUCUCCAUUGCAAACAUGACAUUCACUGCAACCAUUGCUGGAGUAACCUCAGCUGCUACCAGCAGCAUUGAGCCCUCAAGGCCAGACGUACAAAGCUGAAGGACUCUCCUGUCAAGAAAAAUAUACUGUGGCCUGGUAAAAGAUAAAGAGAAUCUUAGAAAGCUUCC